rnacentral:rRNA from 1 species
GACGAACGCUGGCGGCGUGCCUAAUACAUGCAAGUAGAACGCAGUUGCGAACGGGUGAGUAACGCGUAGGUAACUGCCUGGUAUUGGGGGUUAACUAUUGGAAACGCUAGCUAAUACCGCAUACUAUCAGCUCGCACUGCGUUUUAUUAGAUAGUUGGUGGGGUAACGGCUCACUAAGGCAACGAUACUUAGCCGACCUGGGAGGGGGAGCGGCCACACUGGGACUGAGACACCGCCCAGACGCCUACGGUAGGCAGACGUAGGGAAUAUUCGGAGAUGGACGAGAGUCGGACCGAGCAGCGCCGCGGGAGUGAAGAAGAUUUUCGGAUCGUAGGGCUCUUAUAUAAGGGAAGCGGUAACUUACCAGAAAGGGACGGCGAACUACGUGCCAGCAGCCGCGGUAAUUC